rnacentral:rRNA from 1 species
GAAUCUUGCGCAAUGGGGGCAACCCUGACGCAGCCAUACCGCGUGUGUGAUGAAGGUCUUCGGAUUGUAAAGCACUUUCAGCAGGGAUGAUGAUGACAGUACCUGCAGAAGAAGUCACGGCUAACUUCGUGCCAGCAGCCGCGGUAAGACGAAGGUGGCGAAUGUUGCUCGGAUUCACUGGGCGUAAAGCGUCUGUAGGUGGUUUGUUAAGUCAGAGGUGAAAGCCCCGCGCUCAACGUGGGAAUUGCCUUUGAAACUGGCGAACUUGAAGGUAUGAGAGGAUGGCGGAAUGACCGGUGUAGAGGUAAAAUUCAUAGAUAUCGGUCGGAACACCCAUGGCGAAGGCAGCUAUCUGGCAUAUUCUUGACACUGAGAGACGAAAGCGUGGGGAGCAAACAGG